UCGAUGAAGAACGCAGCGAAAUGCGAUACGUAAUGUGAAUUGCAGAAUUCAGUGAAUCAUCGAAUCUUUGAACGCACCUUGCGCCCCUUGGCAUUCCGAGGGGCACACCCGUUUGAGUGUCGUGAAAUCCUCAAAAUCCUCUUCUUUGAUCGGAACAGGACUUUUGGACUUGGAGGUUCAAUGCUCGCUUUCACCUUUGAAAGCGAGCUCCUCUCAAAUGAAUUAGUGGGGUCCGCUUUGCUGGUCCUUGACGUGAUAAGAUGUUUCUACGUUUUGGACUUGGCACUGUUUCUCCGCUCCUAACCGUCUCGUGGACAACGAUGGUGCUCCGGUCGCCGCCGUCUGUGGCGGGAGGCUGGACCCACAAAAACCUUGACCUCAAAUCGGGUGAGACUACCCGCUGAACUUAA
rnacentral:rRNA from 1 species